ensembl:lncRNA
GGGUGGUUAUGGGGCGGUUAUGGGGUGGUUAUGGGGCAGUGCAGAACAUGGCCGUGGGCAAGCAGAACCUCGAGGUCAUGAUCAGCAACUCCAACCGCUCCCAGCAGGACUUCGGUACGGGGGGCGGGGGGUCAGAGGUCACAGGUCGGGGGUCAGGGGUCAGUAUAGGGGGUGGUGGGGUCAGUGGGGGGUGAUGGGGUUGGGGGGAGAAGAGGGGAAAGAGAGUGUGGAGGGGAUGAUGUGGGGCUGCAAUGGGUCCCUGGAGAGCCUCGGAGGGGGGUCAGAGGUCAGAGGUCACGUGCCAUGGGGUCAGUAUGGGGUCUUAGGGUCAGUAUGGGGUCGGUAUGGGGUCAUUGUGGGGUGAUGGGGUUGGAGAGAGGUGAUGGAGUGAGAAGAGGGGAAAGAGAAUAUGGAAGGGAUGAUGUGGGGCUGCAAUGGGUCCCUGGAGGGCCUUGGAGGGGGGUCAGAGGUCAGAGGUCACGUGCCAUGGGGUCAGUAUGGGGUCAGUAUGGGGUCUUAGGAUCGGUAUGGGGUCGGUA